UGCUUUUUUUGUUGUCCCGGGGGGCUUUCCGGAGAAAACUUAAAAAGUUUGGGGUGCUUGGCGGGAUAGGAUGGCUAAAAAGAUGCUUCUUAUAAGAUUUUGGAGAUGGAGCACCAACAGCAGAGAAGGCUGCUUAAUUAUUCGCCUCAACUGAGGAAACAUCCGCCCCGUCACCUUUAUGAUUGUCCUCCGAUUAACAGCUCUCUCAUGAGGCGGUUUGUGGUGGAGCAUGGUUGUUAGUAGGUGGAGGAGUUAUUCGGGUUAAUAAUAAUGAUUACGAAGGAUUUUUCGUGCUAAAAAAUAGUCCCCUCCUCCGCUGUGCUCCCGGGGGAGGCGUCACUCACCUCUUUUCGGGGAGGUGUUGUCGUUGCCCGGCGUGUCCGGCGCAGGUAUUUACUUCUUAGAGGGACAAGCGGCUCGGCAGUCGCACGAAAAUGAGCAAUAACAGGUCUGUGAUGCCCUUAGAUGUCCGGGGCCGCACGUGCGCUACAAUGACGGUUUCAGCGAGUUAGGGAUCCUGGCCCGAAAGGGUUGGGCAAACUACCCAUCAUCCUUGUGACCGGGAUCGGGGCUUGCAAAUGUUCGCGGUGAAUGAGGAAGACCUGGUACGUGCUUGAUCUUAUCUUACACCGAUUUUCAUAAGGCCCUUUGUGGUUUGACCGGCAGUCUAGGUGUGGGGAAUGGCAGCCCAACGACCUUCUCCUGUCCAUCCACGCACCUACCUGGCACACUUACCAGUUACCUGUUCUAGGGAGCAGAGUAGCGCAGUCCGAAGUUAAAAACUU
rnacentral:rRNA from 1 species